AUACGGAGGAUCCGAGCGUUAUCCGGAAUGAUUGGGCGUAAAGGGCGCGUAGACGGCCCGGUAAGUCUGGAGUGAAAGUCCUGCUUUUAAGGUGGGAAUUGCUUUGGAUACUGUCGGGCUUGAGUGCAGGAGAGGUAAGUGGAAUUCCCAGUGUAGCGGUGAAAUGCGUAGAGAUUGGGAGGAACACCAGUGGCGAAGGCGACUUACUGGACUGUAACUGUCGCUGAGGCGCGAAAGUGUGGGGAGCAAACAGGAUUAGAUACCCUGGUAGUCCACACUGUAAACGAUGAAUGCUAGGUGUAGGGGGUAUCGACCCCAUCUGUGCCGCAGUUAACACAAUAAGCAUUCCGCCUGGGGAGUACGGCCGCAAGGUUGAAACUUAAAGGAAUUGGCGGGG
rnacentral:rRNA from 1 species